UACGUAGGGUGCGAGCGUUGUCCGGAAUUACUGGGCGUAAAGAGCUCGUAGGUGGUUUGUCGCGUUGUUCGUGAAAACUCACAACUCAAUUGUGGGCGUGCGGGCGAUACGGGCAGACUGGAGUACUGCAGGGGAGACUGGAAUUCCUGGUGUAGUGGUGAAAUGCGUAGAGAUCGGCAGGAACACCCAGGGGGAAACCAGCCGACUGGGCAAGUGCUGACGCUGAGGUGCGAGAGCGUGGGGAGCGAACCGG
rnacentral:rRNA from 1 species